CCUACGGGUGGCUGCAGUGGGGAAUAUUGGACAAUGGGGGGAACCCUGAUCCAGCGACGCCGCGUGGGUGAAGAAGUAUUUCGGUAUGUAAAGCCCUAUCAGCAGGGAAGAAAAUGACGGUACCUGACUAAGAAGCCCCGGCUAACUACGUGCCAGCAGCCGCGGUAAUACGUAGGGGGCAAGCGUUAUCCGGAUUUACUGGGGGUAAAGGGAGCGUAGACGGUGCAGCAAGUCUGAUGUGAAAGCUUGGGGCCUAACCCCGGGACUGCAUUGGAAACUGUUGAACUGGAGUACAGGAGAGGUAAGCGGAAUUCCUGGUGUAGCGGUGAAAUGCGUAGAGAUUAAGAGGAAUACCAGUGGCGAAGGCGGCUUACUGGACUGUAACUGACGUUGAGGCGCGAAAGCGUGGGGAGCAAACAGGAUUAGAUACCCGAGUAGUC
rnacentral:rRNA from 1 species